UCAGAGCGAACGCUGGCGGCAGGCUUAACACAUGCAAGUCGAACGAUAAGCUAGACUUCGGUUUAGUGGACAGUGGCAGACGGGUGAGUAACGCGUGGGAAUCUACCUUUGAGUGGGGAAUAACAAUUAGAAAUGAUUGCUAAUACCGCAUAUACCCUCCGGGGGAAAGGCUUCGGCCGCUCUUAGAUGAGCCCGCGUACGAUUAGUUUGUUGGUGAGGUAAAGGCUCACCAAGACUACGAUCGUUAGCUGGUUUGAGAGGAUGAUCAGCCACACUGGGACUGAGACACGGCCCAGACUCCUACGGGAGGCAGCAGUGGGGAAUAUUGGACAAUGGGCGAAAGCCUGAUCCAGCCAUGCCGCGUGAGUGAAGAAGGCCUUAGGGUUGUAAAACUCUUUCGACAGGGAAGAUAAUGACGGUACC
rnacentral:rRNA from 1 species